GGGCUGGGUUCAGCAGCACAUAUACUGAAAUUGCUAUGAUACGUAGAAGAUUAGCAUGGCCCCUGCUCAAGGAUAAGACACACAAUUGUGAAAUGUCCCAUAUUUUA